rnacentral:sRNA from 1 species
AGGAAGCCGCAAAGGGCGUGUGAAAAGUUUUCCUGCCUGCCUGCCUGCUGGCAAUUUAUGCAGCAACCGGGGUAGGCCAGGCCAAGGAAAUCAAAGACGAAUCGAGUUUCAUUCUCCAGUUUCUGACUUCUACUCACCAAAUCAAAAUCGUUUCGGUUGUGCCACAUUAUAUAUUUUUCCAAACACAACUAAAACACAUCCUGAUUAUGGCAGACAAAAAGGAUGACACUGGAAGCCAUGUGGAGGGAUGUCCUUGUCUCUUGAAAGGCAAGUGCACUUGCAAGGCCCCCAAGAAGGACAGGGUGGUCUUGAAUCCCUAAGAGUACGAUCGCUUGAUGGCCACCAAUGAGGGUCUUGCCAAUUUGAAGAGAAUGAUGCGGCUGGAAGCCGGUCUAGGUGAACCCGACGAUGUAAUCAUCAUCGAGGGCUCCGAUCUUGAAUACUAAACUAUAUGCUGCGAAACCCAAGACACACCACAAAUAGUAUAUGAUCUUCUACCUUUAAUAAUAGUUUUUACAAUGAAAUACUGGUACCUCGAUUACUAAACAAGUUGCUGCCAAAAACACGAUAAAUAGGAAUGAAGUGCUUCAAAAUUUUCAAGUUCAAAGCACACCACGAGUAGAUGAAUAGGAAUCGGUGUAUCCUUUAUCUUAAAACACUGUAUCUACAGUGAAACACAAGUAUCCGGUUCUUGCAAGCUCACGAUGAAUAGCUAUGGAUCUUCCGCCUUCAAAAACUGUUUCUAUAUGGAGACACUAGUAUACAUACUAUAUUUUGUAAGCAUGUUUUGGACUGCUGCUUGAAAAUAAAGCUCUUGUGACAAAGGAGAAAGACUACACUA